rnacentral:rRNA from 1 species
UACGAAGGGGGCUAGCGUUGUUCGGAAUGACUGGGCGUAAAGGGCGUGUAGGCGGCCCGUUAAGACAGGUGUGAAAUUCCCGGGCUCAACCCAGGACGUGCGCCUGUGACUGGCGGGCUUGAGUCCGGGAGAGGAUGGUGGAACUCCCAGUGUAGAGGUGAAAUUCGUAGAUAUUGGGAAGAACACCCGUGGCGAAGGCGGCCAUCUAGACCGGUACUGACGCUAAGGCGCGACAGCGUGGGGAGCAAACAGG